CGGUCUCCCCGUGUCCGCGCGUCAGCCGGGGCUGGAGGAGGGGCGGGCGGCGCCUGGAAGGGGUCAGAGGCCGGGCCCGGUUCCAUUAAGAGCGCGCGCUCCGGGUCCUGGCCGGAUGGGGGCGCGGCGGAGGGGACGCGGCCGCGCCCCGGGGGUGUGGGGGGCGGCGCGGGGCCCCCUGACCCUCUGACCCCCUGACCCCAGGACCCGGCGGGACCCACCCCGGGACUCGGGGGGCGGGGCCGGGGUCGCUGAGACGGACUGCAGCCUGGCCGUCGCCGGCCCAGAGCGCAGCCGAGCCCGGUGCCGGCGGGUCCGCGUCGGGUGUGGAUCGCGGCGCGGACCCGGGCCCCGUCUCCGGGGAGCCGCGGAGGUGGGCGCGUGCGGCCGUCUGUCGGGAGGCCUCUUGCGGAGUCCCGCGCCUAGGGGAGUCCGGGGCAGCCGGGUCUCCCAGGCGGCAGACGCGCGCGUCUUCGUGCGGACGGCGCGGGGGCGCGGAGCUGCGCUGUCCGCGGGCGGGAGCGGCUCACGCCGGGAGGGUCGCGGCGCCUCGCAGCUACGGCGCGGUCUCCGGGGACGCGCGAGCCGUCGGCGCUGCUCCCCCCGCCCUCCCGGCCCGAUGCGAGUCGGGGCUGGGACUUGUUUUCUCCGCGGGGUGUUGCCGCCUCACGCGCGUCCAGUGCGCGAGCCCAUCCGGCCCCAGGCCUUGCUCGGCUCUCCCGCGACGUUAAGCCUCGGGGCGUGUUUCCGCGUCUCUAGCGUACCUGCACUUAGCACGUGGUGAGCGCGAUGUGCAGGGUUGGUUCUUAUCGGAAUUCCCUGGCGGCCCAGUGGUUCGGACUCCGCGCUUCCACCGCCGAGGGCGCAGGGGACUCGGUCUGAUCCCGGAUUGGGGAACUAAGAUCCCACGUGCUUCAGGGCAACUGAGCUUGCGAGCUGUAGAACCGCGGGUGCCACAACUAGAGAGAAGCCUGCCCCUGGACACAGAGCCCCCAUGCUGCAACAGGAUCUGUUCUGAGGAGUGGCUGGAACCUCUGCUUCGCCAUUAUCUUGAUGUGAACCUGUUGUGAUCUGGAAGAGACAAAACUACAAUUGGCGUUCACCAUUGGCACUGCCAUCUACCUCCACAAAGAUGAAGUCAUGUGCUGCUGCAGCUGCUGACUGCCAGCGCCCCCCGAAAGGUGUUCAGUGUGGAGAGCUGAAAUGAGGUGCUCUGUGCUCUGUGAAAAACUCACAGAACAGGUCGUUAGAUAGUUAGAUAUUUUCAGGAGCCAACUUUAUGGGCCCAAUUUUUGUAUCCCCUCAUAUCUAAAAUCCUUCAUGGUGAUGACUUCUCCUUGUGACUAGCAGUAACCUUUUGUAAACAAUAUGUGCUUGAUUGCAUGUUUUUCCCUUUCACCAAACCACAUAUGUACAGAGCUUCCCCCCUGCCUCUUUGGAACAGUUUCUCAGAGCUCUCUGGGAUGCUGUCUCCCGGACUGCAGUCCUAAUGUUGCCCCAAAUAAAACUUAACGCGCAA